GACAUGAAGUUAGGUCAGCAAACCCGCUGAACUUAAGCAUAUAAGUAAGCGGAGGAUAAGAAACUAAAUAGGAUUCCCUCAGUAAUGGCGAAUGAACAGGGAUAAGCUCAGCAUGGAAAUCGGUGUCUCUGGCAUUGAAUUGUAGUCUCGAGUUGUACUGCCAACGGAGGCGCAGAUGUAAGCCUCUUGGAAAAGAGCAUCAACGAGGGUGAGAGUCCCGUUUGUCAUCUGCAGUCCCCCGUGCACGGUGUACUUCUAAAGAGUCACGUUCCUCGGAAAUGGAGCGCAAAGUGGGUGGUAAAUUUCAUCUAAAGCUAAAUAUAGGUUCGAGACCGAUAGCAAACAAGUACCAUGAGGGAAAGGUGAAAAGGACUUUGAAAAGAGAGUUAAAAGUGCCUGAAAUUGCUGAAAGGGAAGCGAAUGGAACCAGUGCUUCUUGGCAAGAUUGGUGCGUGCUAAUGUGAUUGCCUGCUGCUUCAGCGCAAGCGUGGUAGUGGGUUUUGAUCAGGACGUGCGUGUUGUUUCUUGCCUUGUGUGUCGACGUCAGUUCUCGAUCGAGGAAAACGCCAGGGACAUGGUAGCUCGUCUUCGGGUGAGUGAAUGUGCUUGGUUGAACCCAUUUGUGAACUGGUUCUUGCGUGUCUGGUUGCAGUGCAUUGUGUCUUCACACCCCUGGGGUGGGUUUCGAUCUUCCGCAGGUGGGGUGGGCGACCGGUGCACCUCCCUGACACAUCGACGCUGACUAAAUGGUUCUAUUCGACCCGUCUUGAAACACGGACCAAGGA
rnacentral:rRNA from 2 species